GGUCAUUGUGUUGUUUUAUGCUUACCACUACUCUGUGGAAGUCCAGACGCUCACCGAAAUGCUCGAUGCCCAGACGAACCGCGUGCAUCACAUUCACUCCGCCAUCGUGGAACUCUUGAUGAAUCAUCCAGUAAUGAGCCACAGACCUGCAGGGACAGAAGAGCAAGCUACAAGAUAUGAUCUUGUGAAACUUUGGAAUGAAAACCUUAGUUAAGGGCAUUCCACAGGGAACUACGCUUUGUGUUUGAGUAAACUGACGAGUCUGAUUGGGAGGCUGUCAGAACAUGGGCUUGUUGUGACUGUGGGAUGCUGGCGAGGGAGAAAGUCAGACCAUGCGGGUUUUUACAGCCACAAUCAUGUCCUAAUUAGCAUAUUACCUGUUAUCAUUGUUCUACUGUCCUGGUUUCAGAUCGUCGUUCCCUCAAUAGUUAAGGCUAAAGUCUGUUUGGUUUCUUGCAGAGCAAGAAGCCUGCAUAACAAAAAUACAAUUAUUAUUUUCCAUCACUAUUCAAGUUUCACGUUCCUUUUCUUCACAAAAGGAAACAUGAACAUGUUUCCUUUUCAUAACUUGAUUUGAGGAAACACGUGAGAGAAUUCCAAAGAAUGAUCAAACUCCUGGAGGUGCUAACAUUGUCAAAGUAUCUCUAAAAUCUGUCAUAUAUCUAUCAUCGGAUAAAAACAAUGAUUCUGUGCAUAGGGUGAUUGUUAUGCUGCCCACAGGCUGAAAUUUGAGGGCUAUGUAGCUUUUGCAGAACAAGUGACAAUUACAGAAUGUGUCAAAAGUAAAAUACAUGUG
ensembl:lncRNA